AACAAUAAGCUCAUUUCACACAAUAAGCUUUUGAUUUCCCUGCCAAAAUAGAAAAAUAGAUCUUAAGCAUCAUUUCAUACAAUAAGCUUUUACAAUCAAUAAAUCACACACAAAAUACAUGUAAAGGGAGAUACAGCAUGCAAAACACUAAUCAAACGGGCUUAUUUUAUCGGCCAUAGGUUAAAGGCCCGAUAGAUAUGCCCCAAGAGCUCAAACGGUAAUAGGUGCUCAGCACGCGCGACGGCGGAACCCGACGGCACUGCCGCCUACGUUGUAUAGCACCUCGAUAGUCCGCUGCUGGACGUGGCCGAUGAUACC